UACGUAGGUGGCAAGCGUUGUCCGGAAUUACUGGGUGUAAAGGGAGCGCAGGCGGGCUUGCAAGUCAGCUGUGAAAUUCAAGGGCUUAACCCUUGACAUGCAGUUGAAACUGCAGGUCUUGAGUGAAGUAGAGGUAGGCGGAAUUCCGAGUGUAGCGGUAAAAUGCGUAGAUAUUCGGAGGAACACCGGUGGCGAAGGCGGCCUACUGGGCUUUUACUGACGCUGAGGCUCGAAAGUGUGGGGAGCAAACAGG
rnacentral:rRNA from 1 species